rnacentral:lncRNA from 1 species
GGGCGGCCGCAUAUAUUUAAAAUAUAUAUAUAUUAAGCAAGCUGCUGUUCAUCAACCGAAGCUAAUUCACCGAAGCUAGCCUUAUUUUUUUACAGGAUUCUUGUCCAUUUUCCAUAGGAUUUUCUCUUAGUGAUGGCCCAAUUUGUGCACAAUCAAAUUGUGUUUUGUUUCCAUGAGGUCAUCCAUUUCCGAGUGUUAAGAUCCAUCUCAUGAUUGCUUGUCUCCAUGUUCUUUGAAAGAGCAUCAGCAUAGUUAUUUGAAGCAGGAUCAUCCGCAUGAUCUUCAAUCAGCUGAAGUAAGAUAAAAUUUCAUGAAGAAUUCAAAUGAAUCAUAAUUUACACAUGUUCUCAAAUUAUAAUCCACACUCACCGAAGCUAUUCAUCUGCCGAGUAAUGGGUUGUUUUUGUUGUUUCUCUUUUGAUACUUAUUCGCGAUUGCAAACAGAUGAAGAUUGAAGAAGGUGAAGCCGAAAGUGGCUCGACAGCCU